rnacentral:misc_RNA from 1 species
GAUGAAGAACGUAGCGAAAUGCGAUAAGUAAUGUGAAUUGCAGAAUUCAGUGAAUCAUCGAAUCUUUGAACGCACAUUGCGCCCGCCAGUAUUCUGGCGGGCAUGCCUGUUCGAGCGUCAUUACAACCCUCAGGCCCCCGGGCCUGGCGUUGGGGAUCGGCGGAAGCCCCCUGCGGGCACAACGCCGUCCCCCAAAUACAGUGGCGGUCCCGCCGCAGCUUCCAUUGCGUAGUAGCUAACACCUCGCAACUGGAGAGCGGCGCGGCCACGCCGUAAAACACCCAACUUUCUGAACGUUGACCUCGGAUCAGGUAGGAAUACCCGCUGAACUUAAGCAUAUCAAUAAGCGGAGGA